GAUGAAGCUGGAGCUUGCUCUGGUGGAUUAGUGGCGAACGGGUGAGUAACACGUGAGUAACCUGCCCUUGACUCUGGAAUAAGCGUUGGAAACGACGUCUAAUACUGGAUACGAGCUUCAGCCGCAUGGCUAGGAGUUGGAAAGAAUUUCGGUCAAGGAUGGACUCGCGGCCUAUCAGGUAGUUGGUGAGGUAAUAGCUCACCAAGCCUACGACGGGUAGCCGGCCUGAGAGGGUGACCGGCCACACUGGAACUGAGACACGGUCCAGACUCCUACGGGAGGCAGCAGUGGGGAAUAUUGCACAAUGGGCGAAAGCCUGAUGCAGCAACGCCGCGUGAGGGACGACGGCCUUCGGGUUGUAAACCUCUUUUAGUAGGGAAGAAGCGAAAGUGACGGUACCUGCAGAAAAAGCACCGGCUAACUACGUGCCAGCAGCCGCGGUAAUACGUAGGGUGCAAGCGUUAUCCGGAAUUAUUGGGCGUAAAGAGCUCGUAGGCGGUUUGUCGCGUCUGCUGUGAAAACUGGAGGCUCAACCUCCAGCCUGCAGUGGGUACGGGCAGACUAGAGUGCGGUAGGGGAGAUUGGAAUUCCUGGUGUAGCGGUGGAAUGCGCAGAUAUCAGGAGGAACACCGAUGGCGAAGGCAGAUCUCUGGGCCGUAACUGACGCUGAGGAGCGAAAGCAUGGGGAGCGAACAGGAUUAGAUACCCUGGUAGUCCAUGCCGUAAACGUUGGGAACUAGAUGUAGGGACCAUUCCACGGUUUCUGUGUCGCAGCUAACGCAUUAAGUUCCCCGCCUGGGGAGUACGGCCGCAAGGCUAAAACUCAAAGGAAUUGACGGGGGCCCGCACAAGCGGCGGAGCAUGCGGAUUAAUUCGAUGCAACGCGAAGAACCUUACCAAGACUUGACUUAUACGAGAACGGGCUAGAAAUAGUUCACUCUUUGGACACUCGUAAACAGGUGGUGCAUGGUUGUCGUCAGCUCCUGUCGUGAGAUGUUGGGUUAAGUCCCGCACCGAGCGCAACCCUCGUUCUUUGUUGCCAGCACCUAAUGGUGGGAACUCAAAGGAGAUUGCCGGGGUCACUCCGAGGAAGGUGGGGAUGACGUCAAAUCAUCAU
rnacentral:rRNA from 1 species